AGUGAACGCUGGCGGUAGGCCUAACACAUGCAAGUCGAACGGCAGCACAGUAAGAGCUUGCUCUUACGGGUGGCGAGUGGCGGACGGGUGAGGAAUACAUCGGAAUCUACUUUUUCGUGGGGGAUAACGUAGGGAAACUUACGCUCAUACCGCAUACGACCUACGGGUGAAAGCAGGGGAUCUUCGGACCUUGCGCGAUUGAAUGAGCCGAUGUCGGAUUAGCUAGUUGGCGGGGUAAAGGCCCACCAAGGCGAGGAUCCGUAGCUGGUCUGAGAGGAUGAUCAGCCACACUGGAACGGAGACACGGUCCAGACUCCUACGGGAGGCAGCAGUGGGGAAUAUUGGACAAUGGGCGCAAGCCUGACCCAGCCAGACCGCGUGGGUGAAGAAGGCCUUCGGGUUGUAAAGCCCUUUUGUUGGGAAAGAAAAGCAGCAGGUUAAUACCCCGCUGUUCUGACGGUACCCAAAGAAUAAGCACCGGCUAACUUCGUG
rnacentral:rRNA from 1 species